rnacentral:rRNA from 1 species
GCCCGAUAGUGGGGGAUAACCUGGGGAAACCCAGGCUAAUACCGCAUACGUCCUACGGGAGAAAGGGGGCUCCGGCUCCCGCUAUGGGAUGAGCCUAUGUCGGAUUAGCUAGUUGGUGAGGUAACGGCUCACCAAGGCCACGAUCCGUAGCUGGUCUGAGAGGAUGAUCAGCCACAUCGGGACUGAGACACGGCCCGAACUCCUACGGGAGGCAGCAGUGGGGAAUAUUGGACAAUGGGGGAAACCCUGAUCCAGCCAUGCCGCGUGUGUGAAGAAGGCCCUCGGGUUGUAAAGCACUUUCAGCGAGGAAGAACGCCUAGCGGUUAAUACCCGCUAGGAAAGACAUCACUCGCAGAAGAAGCACCGGCUAACUCCGUGCCAGCAGCCGCGGUAAUACGGAGGGUGCAAGCGUUAAUCGGAAUUACUGGGCGUAAAGCGCGCGUAGGUGGCUUGAUAAGCCGGUUGUGAAAGCCCCGGGCUC